AAAAAAAAAAAAAAAAGCAAUAAUUACAAUAAGAAAAGGGGUACCACAACCACCUUACAAUAACUUUGGAUUCUUUAAUGUGUGUGCACGUUCCCAGGUGCAAACGAAAGAACAAGGAUGGCAAGCCGUCUACAUACAGAAUCAGCUUCCAAAUAUUCAUUCUAAUAUCUGAGUUAAUUGCACCAAUAAGCUCAAUUUCAAUUCAUUAAAAUAAACUUGUUUUUAAAACAAAUAAAAUAAAGAUUUCAUUGAUCAAGUUCAAAAUCAAAGUUGAAGAAUUUAAUUUCAAUUGAAAUUAAGUGACUGAAAUAAAUCAAUCACUAAAGUUGAGGAUAGUUAAAGCAAUUAACGCCUAAUCUCUAAUUAAACUUAUAUUGUGCAUGGCUGUUAGAUGAUUAUAACGUUAUAA
rnacentral:misc_RNA from 1 species